GUAGGGAAUAUUGGGCAAUGGAUGCAAGUCUGACCCAGCCAUCCCGCGUGCCGGAAGAAGGCCCUCAGGGUUGUAAACGGCUUUUGACGGUGAAGAAUCGACAGGAUGCGUCCUGUUUUGACGGUAGCCGUUGAAUAAGCACCGGCUAACUCCGUGCCACCAGCCGCGGUAAUACGGAGGGUGCGAGCGUUGUCCGGAUUUAUUGGGUUUAAAGGGUGCGUAGGCUGGAAGGUCAGUCAGCGGUGAAAAGCUGUCGCUUAACGAUAGUCUUGCCGCAGAUACUUCCUUUCUUGGAUGAGGAGGAGGCCACUGGAACGGAUGGUGUAGCGGUGAAAUGCAUAGAUAUCAUCCAGAACACCGAUUGCGAAGGCAGGUGGCUGUACCUUAAUCGACGCUGAUGCACGAAAGCAUGGGGAGCAAACAGGAUUAGAAACCCGUGUAGUCC
rnacentral:rRNA from 1 species